UAAACACUCUGUCAUUAACAAUCACGAUGAACAUGAUAAUAAAACUGAAUAAACACGACAGAGUUACGCACCCGAUUAAAAGUUAAUUCAUCAUUUUUGUGCGGUAAUGGAUGAAGUUGCGCGGUGACGUCAAGCCCCUGAUCUGACUAUGCGGAGCGCUGCUGCUGCUGCUGAGAGCACAUGGAGGAGAGAGCACGAGCACUUAGCAGCUUUGCUAAUGGAGCCUUACUCGCUAAAUAUAAAGAAACCAAGAGAAUUUACACCUAGAAAGUGGACGGAUUUGUUUGAGGCGUCCAAAAUGAACGUUGAGCUGCGGCACUCAUUCUACGGUUGGGCGAUGUCUACCAAAUUGGAAUGGGACGAUGGCUACAGUGAAACAUCGCGAUGGACGAUGACAUCGUCCUGCGGCGUUAUAAAGUGUAGAGAAAGCUGGUGAGGAUGUUUGCAAGGAUGUAAGCGACAUCAUCUUCAUGGAGCUUGUGAGAAAGCACCAUUGCAUCAGUCACUCACCCUGCCAAUGAGGAAUGAGGUGAAGAGGUUGUGAUAAGAGCAUGCCGCGGGACGGCCUGACCUUCAGAGUAUUGGACUGAACUCGGACAGCAGCGACACAGCAUGAGCCGGGGAACACGAGGCACUUACCUGGGAGACGUUGUCCUGCUGAACAUCGUGAGUCACACUGGCAGUGAUGACAUCAAAGUAUGACGUCACCUGGACUGUUAAAUGGGUCAGAAGCACCUGAUGGUGGACCAGACUGAUCUGAAAUGGAGAUUGUGUCCAUGUUGUGUUGAGUUUUAAAAUGUUUACGUCAGGGGUGUUUGGAGGGGCCUAUCAGUUAUUGUCUGAUAUAUUUCUGAAUAAAAAUAUUUACUAAAAAAAAAUACACAGAUUAGGCUUGUUUUCCAUUCAAAUGUUUUCGUGUUUUACUUACACAAAUGUCAUGUACCUCAAUAAUAUGUAAUAUGCCAGUCUUAAAAUGCAAUUCUUAAAACUUAAAAUGCAAAGUUUAAUACUGUUGGCAUAAUAAAGGUUGAAUCCCAAUGUGUUAAACCCAGAGUGACCCGAUUAAACGGUAAUACUGACAUAUACUGUACGUUUUAAUCUUUAAGUACGUUUGAAAUGCAUGACAUCAUAAUGGUGAUGAUGUCUAUAUGUUAGAUAUAUAAUAAGAUGGUUUGAUUAAGUAAAGCGCUGGCUGGGAUUUUCCAGUGCCGCCUCAGUAAAGCCCCAGGUUAAUGGAAUUGCUUCAGAUCUGCUGUUAGGGAUUGAGACGCAUCCCUUUAAAUUAAUGAGCGAGAGCCAGAUGGAGUUGAUGGAGAAUAACAGGAGGAGGGUUCAGUGGAGGACACGCCCAAUCUGGCUAGACUGUUCUGUCAGUGGAUUCUCAUAAUCCUCUUUCUCGGAUGUGAUUACCUCUAACAAAAAACGUAAAGCUCAGGCUUAGAGAUUUAUUUGAUAUAAACAAUCUGAUGUUUUUUGUGAAUGGUGAAUAAAAGCGAUGCAAAGACACGCACUAGUCUCGGCUUGUGUAUUUGUUUCUAGUGGUCACAAGACCAGCAAACGUGUUGUUUUAUCUCACUUGUAGACC